GACAGAGGGUGCAAACGUUGUUCGGAAUUACUGGGCGUAAGGCGCGUGUAGGCGGCCAUCUAAGUCGGGCGUGAAAUCCCACGGCUCAACCGUGGAAGUGCACUCGAAACUGGAUGGCUAGAGUCCUGGAGAGGAAGGUGGAAUGCUUGGUGUAGAGGUGAAAUUCGUAGAUAUCAAGCGGAACACCGGUGGCGAAGGCGGCCUUCUGGACAGUGACUGACGCUGAGACGCGAAAGCGUGGGGAGCAAACAGG
rnacentral:rRNA from 1 species